rnacentral:snoRNA from 1 species
GGCCGAAGACGAAAUAUAUGGAUGUUAUUUUUGUAUGAUACAUUUUGAUUACAAAACCAUUUCUGCCUUCCUUCUGAGGCC